rnacentral:misc_RNA from 1 species
UGUGGGAGCUGGCUUGCCUGCGAUAGCGGUCUUUCUGUGCCAGAUGUAUUGGCUGGCACGCCGAUAUCGCAGGCAAGCCAGCUCCCACA